UCAAUGCCAUAACUUGCGAGUCGUGUAAAUCAUUUUUCAGGAGAAAUGCAUUAAAAUAUAAAGAUCGAUACAAAUGCUAUUCGGGCGGCAAUUGUAUGAUAACUGUUGACAAUCGGAUCAAAUGCAAGAAAUGCCGACUCGACCGGUGUUUUUCAGUCGGUAUGAAAACUUGAACAACAAAAACAAUUGCAACAAAAGAAAUCAUUGAAACAACAGAAAACUGAGAAAAUCCGACGAAAACAAGUGAUUGUUGUCCAGAAUAUACAAUCACCACUUCUUCCGAUUGAUUGUUCAUCAGAUGACAGAGUUGUUGAUGUUAUCAAUGAAACAGACAAACAAUGGACAACAAAAUGAGUUGUUGUUGUUGUUUACAGGUGUGUCGGCCGUCGCCGCCGCCGCCACUGCUGUUGUCGAUUCAUCGAUUGUCGGCCACUCGUCCUCAUCAUCAUCGCUGAGCACAGGGAUCGUCGCCACCAAUCAGUCUAUAGUCGUGUCGUCUACGACUACGACUAUUAUGAAACCCAUUACCGAUUAUAGCAAUCAGUUUAACGAACUCGAGGCCAAUAAGUUGACUGAACUGUUGGAUGCCAUGAAACUAAUACAACAACAGGAAAAACUCCAGUAUUUUUGUUGAUACCGGAGCUGAUUCUACUACUAAUGCCGUACCUAAUCAUCCAAAUAUCAAUGUUGUCGACAAUUUUAUGCAAGCAUUUCGACUAUUGCAUGACUAAUCUGAACAAAACAAUGCCUAAUAUCAUUAAAAUGGCCAAACGUUUACAAUGUUUUACUAAUAAUAAAACUAAUAGCAGUUUAAUCACAGAAUCG